CACGUAGGGGGCAAGCGUUGUCCGGAAUCAUUGGGCGUAAAGAGCUCGUAGGCGGCUCAGUAAGUCGGGUGUGAAACCUCCAGGCUCAACCUGGAGACGCCACCCGAUACUGCUGUGGCUAGAGUCCAGUAGGGGAGUGUGGAAUUCCCGGUGUAGCGGUGAAAUGCGCAGAUAUGGGAGGAACACCAGCGGCGAAGGCGGCACUCUGGGCUGGUACUGACGCUGAGGAGCGAAAGCGUGGGUAGCAAACAGG
rnacentral:rRNA from 1 species